rnacentral:tRNA from 1 species
CAGGGAGACAACAAAAUGUUUAAUAUUAUUAUUUUGUCACCUUAGGUCGAUCGGUAUCUCACGUUUUUAAUUUAUUAAGAAUUUCAUUUCCUAAGUUUUUUCUAGGUCACACCCAUUAUUUUUCCUGGGCCAUUAGCUCAGGUGGUUAGAGCGCACCCCUGAUAAGGGUGAGGUCCCUGGUUCAAGUCCAGGAUGGCCCAUAUCUCUAUGUUGGGGGUAUAGCUCAGUUGGUAGAGCGCCUGCUUUGCAAGCAGGAUGUCAGCGGUUCGAGUCCGCUUACCUCCACUGAUUACCACCUCUUUCAAAAUCUAUGAGAAGGAAAUGUUUUGAGUAGUGAUCAAUUUCUGAACGAAGCUAGCUUCCUAAUGAAAUCAUUAAGAAGCUGGACUCAUUGAAUUAAUUUCAUUGUUUUCAGAGAACCUUGACAACUGCAUAGAUUAUUUUAAAGACAAUAAGCAUCUUUAAUGAUGCAGAUUUAUUAUUUGUGCGAAUGCAUUAAUAACAAUUCUAUUAAGCUGAUGCUUCAAUUUUUGAAGUUAUU